rnacentral:rRNA from 1 species
GGGGGGGGGGGGGGGGGGGCGGGGGGGGUGGGAGGGGGGCGGUGAGGCGCCUGCCUUUUUGGUGGGUGGGGAGGAGUGGCGAACGGGUGAGUAACACGUGAGUCACCUGCCCCGUUCUUCUGGAUAACCGCAUGAAAGUGUGGCUAAUACGGGCUAUUCUGGGUCUGUCGCAUGCUGGGUCUUGGCAAUAUAUUGUUUCGGUGGUGGAUGGGCUCGCGGCCUAUCAGCUUGUUGGUGGGGUGAUGGCCUACCAAGGCGGUGACGUGUAGCCGGCCUGAGAGGGUGGACGGUCACAAUGGGACGGAGACACGGCCCAGACUCCUACGGGAGGCAGCAGUGGGGAAUAUUGCACAAUGGGCGCAAGCCAGAUGCAGCGACGCCGCGUGAGGGAUGGAGGCCUUCGGGUUGUGAACCUCUUUCGCCAGUGAAGCAGGCCUGCCUCGUUUGUGGGUGGGUUGACGGUAGCUGGAUAAGAAGCGCCGGCUAACUACGUG